rnacentral:rRNA from 1 species
GAUGAACGCUAGCUGGAGGCUUAAUACAUGCAAGUCGACGGGAUUGGUAGCAAUACCAUGAGAGCGGCGCACGGGUGAGUAACGCGUACACGACCUACCUCUGACAGGGGGAUAGCCCUGGGAAACUGGGAUUAAUACCGCAUAUUAUUCUGAUUAAUAAAGGAUUGGAAUGAAAGUUCAGGCGGUCAGAGAUGGGUGUGCGUCUGAUUAGCUAGUUGGUAGGGUAACGGCCUACCAAGGCGAUGAUCAGUAGGGGGCGUGAGAGCGUGGUCCCCCACACGGGUACUGAGACACGGACCCGACUCCUACGGGAGGCAGCAGUAAGGAAUAUUGGACAAUGGCCGAAAGGCUGAUCCAGCCAUCCAGCGUGCAGGAAGAAGGCCCUAUGGGUUGUAAACUGCUUUUAUCAGGGAAUAAACCUCUGGAUUCACUCCGGAGCUGAAGGUACCUGAAGAAUAAGCACCGGCUAACUCCGUG